AUACACAACAACAACCACAUUCUGAAACGCAACAACAACCACAUCAGUGCAACAACA
rnacentral:lncRNA from 1 species